rnacentral:rRNA from 1 species
GUGGCGCACGGGUGAGUAAUGCGUAGGAACGUACCUUUAGGAGGGGGAUAACCACGGGAAACUGUGGCUAAUACCGCAUAAUCAGGAAACUGUAAAAGUGGCCUCUACUUGUAAGCUACUGCCUAAAGAUCGGCCUAUGUCCCAUUAGCUAGUUGGGGGGGUAAUGGCCCACCAAGGCUACGAUGGGUAGCUGGUCUGAGAGGAUGAUCAGCCACACUGGAACUGAGACACGGUCCAGACUCC